ensembl:lncRNA
GCUAUACAUAUCGAAUCUAUUGAAACAAUACACAGGUAUUCAUGUUUGAUAUAGAAUACAAAUUAAUCCAUUAAAAUAAUGAGGGCUGGAAUUAAAAGGAGGAAUAAAUCAGUCUGAAGUGAAAUUCUGAAACCAACAUUUAUUUUUUUUCAUUUUAAAAUACAAAAUAUUUAGCAAUAUUAUAUGAUAGAGUAAACCAUUUGACAGCCUUUCAUGCUCUUUGUGUCGCUUCAACAUUUACCAGAAUGUUCUUCUAUCCUUUCAUAUAUUAUUUCCUGCAGUCACCAGGGUUUCACACUGCGUCCUGCUAUCAUUUAGUCUAUAUGUGAGUCUCAAUGGAUGAGCAUGUUGUUUGUUUAAUUGAAUUAUUUUCUCCUCCUCCUCCCCUCCUCCUCCUCCUCUCCUCCUCCUCCUCUCCUCCUUACCCCAUAAAGCCUUGAGCUAGCAAAUGUAGUAACCUGACAAAUUUGAAAAACAAAGUUGCACAGCAAAUGAAAGAGUGAAAACUGUAAAAGGUCUCUCUUGCCCCCAUCUUGCAAUGCACCCAACACACCUUCAAACCCCCAGGUCAAGCUCCCGUCUGGCGUCUCUAUACCCCCUCGAACCAAAACAUCUACAGUCAGGUCAAGCUCCCGCCUGGCGUCUCUAUACCCCCUCGAACCAAAACAUCUACAGUCAGGUCAAGCUCCCGUCUGGCGUCUCUAUACCCCCUCGAACCAAAACAUCUAGUCAGGUCAAGCUCUCGUCUGGCGUCUCUAUACCCCCUCGAACCAAAACAUCUAGUCAGGUCAAGCUCUCGUCUGGCGUCUCUAUACCCCCUCGAACCAAAACAUCUACAGUCAGGUCAAGCUCUCAUCUGGCGUCUCUAUACCCCCUCGAACCAAAACAUCUACAGUCAGGUCAAGCUCUCGUCUGGCGUCUCUAUACCCCCUCGAACCAAAACAUCUACAGUCAGGUCAAGCUCUCGUCUGGCGUCUCUAUACCCCCUCGAACCAAAACAUCUACAGUCAGGUCAAGCUCUCGCCUGGCGUCUCUAUACCCCCUCGAACCAAAACAUCUAGUCAGGUCAAGCUCUCGUCUGGCGUCUCUAUACCCCCUCGAACCAAAACAUCUAGUCAGGUCAAGCUCUCGUCUGGCGUCUCUAUACCCCCUCGAACCAAAACAUCUAGUCAGGUCAAGCUCUCGUCUGGUGUCUCUAUACCCCCUCGAACCAAAACAUCUAGUCAGGUCAAGCUCUCGUCUGGUGUCUCUAUACCCCCUCGAACCAAAACAUCUAGUCAGGUCAAGCUCUCGUCUGGCGUCUCUAUACCCCCUCGAACCAAAACAUCUAGUCAGGUCAAGCUCUCGUCUGGCGUCUCUAUACCCCCUCGAACCAAAACAUCUAGUCAGGUCAAGCUCUCGUCUGGCGUCUCUAUACCCCCUCGAACCAAAACAUCUAGUCAGGUCAAGCUCUCGUCUGGUGUCAAUGAAAACAUCUACAAGCUCUAUUUACAUAUUACAACAAAAUAUCUACACACAUUUGGAAACUAAAAACUUGAUGCAAGUUGUGAAAAUGUAGAUCAUGUAAAUCUGGAAUUUUCUCUUGAAAUUCUCCCUUCGUCUUCCAGGUGACAUUUGGAGUUGAUUUGUUUCUGCCAAGAUGGCUGGACCGCUUCACACAACAGACUGUCAUCACCUAGAAGAGGAGCUAUAGAAUACGUCACACACACACACACACACACACACACACGCACACACACACACACACACACACACACGCACACACACACAGAUGCACACAGCACACACACACAGAUGCACACACGCACACACACACACGCACACAGACACACACACACACACACACAUGCACACACACACACACACACACACACACAGAUGCACACACACA